UCAGUAGAAAUAAAAAACAAGCGUUCGUGGAGGGGAAGAUGAACCCAUUUCGUCAUCUGAUUCGUUGUUGUUACGGCCGAACGAAUUCCUGUCGGGACUGUAGCAUCGUAGCAACAAAACUUCAUUGUUUAGAUCUUUUUUACUCAGUGUCGCACAGCAGGUCCAAAGGAAACGUUGCAUGAUUGUUCCCAGAAGAAGGAAGAGUCCUUUACGUGUGCUCGUCCUGGUUCGUUGCCGCAGCUACGUGAUUUUUUUUUUUGGUUGAGAACAAGUGGAAACAAUAAUAACAACAGGCAGGCGCCGGGAGGAUAUCCACUUUUUGUAUCAGUCCCCAUAAGUGAUAUUUAUUCAGUAGCAAACCGCACGCCGCUGUUACUCUAAAGGAGAGUGAAACGUAAUCACAUGUUAUCUGGCCUAGUAUAUCUAAUAAUGCGAGGGGAUAACAAACAGACGGAGUUCGCCGUGCAAGGAGAAGGGGAAGCAAAGGAAAAAAAAACGGCAAGGAAAAACCAAAAUCCGGUUACCGAGCAGUAAAAGGAGAUAUAUGGAAACCUCUUGCAGCAUCCGGAUAAGCACUACUGGAGGAACCACACUCGAUCCAUAUUCUUGGUAAUCACGGAUUCCCCUGAUGCAUCCAAUUGCCCCGCAAUUCAAACCACGAAACGGCGCGAGGCUUUUGCAGAGCAAUGUGCAUUCGAAUGAGCGGAUCGCACGUGGGAUGCUGUAAACUGGAAAGGGCGAACGAUUCCACCGGGGAAGAGCAGUCACGCGAAUGUAUCAGCCAGCCGGUACGGAAACAGCAAAUGGCACUCGGACGUGCUCCCGCCGCGUCACGUGCACAUCCGACCAACUGAGGUGGCAGAAUUCAAUAUGAAAAAUAAUUCACUAUUUAUGUUUGUUUUAUACUCUCUUUAUUUAUUUAAAACACUCUCAUUGGAACGAAAACAAACCGAAACCCAAACCAUAUGCCCCAGGAUAAAACGAGCCGGAUCGGACGAUGAUUCAUUAAAAACAACUACCUUUCAUUGAUUUAUGCACACUGAAAUACCAUGGGUAUAAGACGGCGAUACUAGAAACAAAAAAAAAUGACGGGAUAAAAAUGCAUCGGCAUGAAUUAAUAAACAAAUGGCCGCACACGUUUGAAUAAUUCAGUGCCACAGAGUGCAGCUUAGUGUUUGAUGUUUGCAAUUAAUAUGGAAAAUUGAAGCAAUUGUAUUCAACUUAUCAACCUUUUGUGUGGGACUCAGACAGCUUGCGCUGAUGAUUUUCGGAACAAGAUAUGCUGGGAAAUUGCAUAAUUUUGUAUUUGUUAUAUUCCCUCGUACUAACGGUUUUGACAAGAAAUCUACGAGGGGAUCUACCGCUGUGUUACGCUCCAUACAAAAAUUCAAACUUCCCCAAACAAAUUUUGUUACGUGGGGGAGGGAGGUGAUUUAAAAUUGGGAAAUUCUGCGUUACGUAAUAUGCGAAUGAAUCCAUAAUGGCGCACGUUCAGUGAAGUGCUAGAGGAGGGCGCUC